UACGUAGGCAGCAAGCGUUGUUCGGAGUUACUGGGCGUAGAGGGUGUGUAGGCGGUUGCUUAAGUUUGGUGUGAAAUCUCCCGGCUCAACUGGGAGGGUGCGCCGAAUACUGAGUGACUAGAGUGCGGGAGAGGAGAGUGGAAUUCCUGGUGUAGCGGUGAAAUGCGUAGAUAUCAGGAGGAACACCGGUGGUGUAGACGGCUCUCUGGACCGUAACUGACGCUGAGACACGAAAAGCGUGGGUAGCAAACAGG
rnacentral:rRNA from 1 species